GGCUCAUAAUGGCAAAUUAUUAGUUUUGAAAACUAAUUGGGGGCGUUCGAUUCGCCCAUGGGCUU
rnacentral:tRNA from 1 species